rnacentral:rRNA from 1 species
AGAGUUUGAUCCUGGCUCAGAACGAACACUGGUGGCGCGUUUUAAGCAUGCAAGUCGAAGGGUAUACAGAAGCUUGCUUCUGUAGAGACUGGCGAACGGGUGAGUAACACGUAGAUAAUCUGCCUUUAGGUUGGGGAUAGCCCAUGGAAACAUGGAGUAAUACCGAAUGUGAUUCAGACAUCAUAAGAUGAUUGAAUGAAAGGUGCUAAGGCAUCGCCUGAAGAUGAGUCUGCGGUUCAUUAGUUAGUUGGUAGGGUAACGGCCUACCAAGGCAGCGAUGAAUAGCCGGCCUGAGAGGGUGACCGGCCACACUGGGACUGAGACACGGCCCAGACUCCUACGGGAGGCAGCAGCUAAGAAUCUUCCGCAAUGGGCGAAAGCCUGACGGAGCGACGCCGCGUGAAUGAAGAAGGCCUAACGGUUGUAAAGUUCUUUUCUUGAGGAGGAAUAAUGCUUAGAGGGAAUGCUAAGCAGAUGACGUUAAUCAAGGAAUAAGCCACGGCCAAUUACGUGCCAGCAGCCGCGGUAAUACGUAAGUGGCAAGUGUUGUUCGGAUUUAUUGGGCGUAAAGGGCGCGUAGGCGGUCUUUCAAGUCUGGUGUGAAAUACCUCAGCUCAACUGAGGGAACGCGUUGGAAACUGUAAGACUAGAGUCUAGGAGGGGAUACUGGAAUUUCUGGUGUAGGGGUGAAAUCUGUAGAUAUCAGGAAGAACACCGGUGGCGAAGGCGAGUAUCUAGCCAUAGACUGACGCUGAGGCGCGAAAGCGUGGGGAGCGAACAGGAUUAGAUACCCUGGUAGUCCACGCUGUAAACGAUGUGCACUAGGUGUUGGGGGGUUUACCUUCAGUGCCGCAGCUAACGCAUUAAGUGCACCGCCUGGGGAGUAUGCUCGCGAGGGUGAAACUCAAAGGAAUUGACGGGGCCCCGCACAAGCGGUGGAGCAUGUGGUUUAAUUCGAAGAUACGCGAGAAACCUUACCAGGGCUUGACAUAUGCAGGAAGUCGUAAGAGAUUGCGAUGUCCUUCGGGACCUGUAUACAGGUACUGCAUGGCUGUCGUCAGCUCGUGCUGUGAAGUGUUGGGUUAAGUCCCGCAACGAGCGCAACCCCUUCUGUCAGUUGCCAACAGGUAAUGCUGGGAACUCUGGCGGUACUGCCGGUGACAAACCGGAGGAAGGUGGGGAUGAUGUCAAGUCAUCAUGGUCCUUAUGUCCUGGGCUACACACGUGCUACAAUGGCAGGUACAAAGCGACGCAAGACCGCGAGGUGGAGCAAAUCGCAUAAAGCUUGUCUCAGUACGGAUUGGAGUCUGAAACUCGACUUCAUGAAGGUGGAAUCGCUAGUAAUCGCGCAUCAGCAUGGCGCGGUGAAUACGUUCCCGGGGCUUGUACACACCGCCCGUCAAACCACCCGAGUUGGGGGUACCCGAAGUCGCUAGUCCAACCAGCAAUGGAGGACGGUGCCGAAGGUAUGCUUGGUAAGGGGGGUUAAGCCGUAACAAGGUA